rnacentral:rRNA from 1 species
GUGGGGAAUCUUAGACAAUGGGCGCAAGCCUGAUCUAGCCAUGCCGCGUGAGCGAUGAAGGCCUUAGGGUUGUAAAGCUCUUUCAGGGGGGAAGAUAAUGACGGUACCCCCAGAAGAAGCCCCGGCUAACUCCGUGCCAGCAGCCGCGGUAAUACGGAGGGGGCUAGCGUUGUUCGGAAUUACUGGGCGUAAAGCGCACGUAGGCGGACCAGAAAGUCAGGGGUGAAAUCCCGGGGCUCAACCCCGGAACUGCCUUUGAAACUCCUGGUCUUGAGGUCGAGAGAGGUGAGUGGAAUUCCGAGUGUAGAGGUGAAAUUCGUAGAUAUUCGGAGGAACACCAGUGGCGAAGGCGGCUCACUGGCUCGAUACUGACGCUGAGGUGCGAAAGCGUGGGGAGCAAACAGGAUUAGAUACCCGAGUAGUCC